CCUACGGGUGGCAGCAGUGAGGAAUAUUGGUCAAUGGACGAGAGUCUGAACCAGCCAAGUAGCGUGAAGGAUGACUGCCCUAUGGGUUGUAAACUUCUUUUAUAUGGGAGUAAAAUGUUUCACGUGUGGGAUUUUGUAUGUACCAUAUGAAUAAGGAUCGGCUAACUCCGUGCCAGCAGCCGCGGUAAUACGGAGGGUCCGAGCGUUAUCCGGAUUUAUUGGGUUUAAAGUGAGCGUAGGUGGAUGGUUAAGUCAGUUGUGAAAGUUUGCGGCUCAACCGUAGAAUUGCAGUUGAAACUGGCAGUCGUGAGUACAGGAGAGGUGGGCGGAAUUCGUGGUUUAGCGGUGAAAUGCUUAGAUAUCACGAAGAACGACGAUUGCGAAGGCAGCUCACUGGACUGCAACUGACACUGAGGCUCGAAAGUGUGGGUAUCAAACAGGAUUAGAUACCCGGGUAGUC
rnacentral:rRNA from 1 species